GGAAGAAUUUUCAGGCUAUGAACUUGGUCCUGGUUUCCGGCAGUUCUUUGCCCCAAAGAUUCAUCUGGCUGCUCCUGCACCAGCUGCACACUGGUUUUAUCUGGGAGGGUGAGUCCCUUCUUUUUGCUCUUCCUUUUCAAAAUGGACUUAGGCAUCAUGAACUUUUAUUCCUUUGUAAAAGUUUAGAAUAAGAAUGUGGAAGUCCUCAGAAAAUCCUGGCCAUAAUUCUGACAUUGAAUUUAUAGGUUAAUCGUAAGGGAAACUGACAUAUUGACACAUCAAAGAUGUGGCAUAUCUUUCCAUUUAUUCUGCUCUUCUUUUAAAAUGUGUAACUGAGUUUUCAAUUUCCUCAGACAAGUCAUUUUUGGAUCAUUGCCUACAAACUUUCUAGUUAAAGAAUUGUGUUUUCUUUUUUCUUUUUCUUUUUUUGUUGUGUUUUAUUUUCUAUUAUAUUUUCUAGACGGCCUUGGUAAUGUUGAUAAAGACUAAAAUUUUUUUAAGACUGAUCAGGUAGUCACCAUCCUUGCUCAUCUUUUCUUUUUUUUUUUUUUUAAAGAUUUUAUUUAUUUAUUUGACAGAGAGAGACAGCCAGAGAGAGAGGAAACACAAGCAGGGGGAGUGGGAGAGGAAGAAGCAGACUUCCAGUGGAGGAGCCUGAUGUGGGGCUCCAUCCCAGAACGCUGGGAUCACACCCUGAGCUGAAGGCAGAUGCUUAACGACUGCGCCACCCAGGCGCCCCAUCAUCUUUUAUUUUCGUUCAUUGAUUAAAUGUGUUUGUCCAAUCUCUAGAUCUCCUUUUCCUUUUUCCUUCUCCUCCUAUUUUGGCCAGAAACUCCAAUGUGUAAAAUAAUUAACAGCUAACUGUUGUUAAACAGUAGCAGUGAAAACAGAAAAUGUCUAAAUUUUCUUUUAAAAUCACAUGUGUACUUCUUUACAGGUUUCAACAGUGUCCAUGCUUGUUACACCCCAAUGUGAUAGGAAGAACAAGUGUUGGCCCAUUUUACAGAUAAGAGUCAGUAUUUUUGGGUUUGGGGGGAUCACAUGACCAGAAAGGAACAGAAUUCAUAUUCAGGUCUCCGAAGCUUCAAGUUUUCUACUAUAGCAGAUUACCUUACAUCUAGUCAAAAUGUCUAAAACUAUAAUGAUUUAACCCAGUCAUAGACAAAGUGAAUUUUUUAA
rnacentral:lncRNA from 1 species